GGGCCCUUAGCUCAGUUGGUAGAGCGCCUGACUUUUAAUCAGGAUGUCGAAGGUUCGAAUCCCUCAGGGCCCACCA
rnacentral:tRNA from 1 species